rnacentral:rRNA from 1 species
AGAGUUUGAUCAUGGCUCAGAGUGAACGCUGGCGGCAGGCCUAAUACAUGCAAGUCGAACGGCAGCACAGCAGAGCUUGCUCUGUGGGUGGCGAGUGGCGGACGGGUGAGGAAUACGUGGGAAUCUGCCCAGUCGUGGGGAUAACGUAGGGAAACUUACGCUAAUACCGCAUGCGCCCUUCGGGGAAAGCCGGGGACCUUCGGGCCUGGCGCGAUUGGAUGAGCCCACGUCGGAUUAGCUAGUUGGCGGGUAAAGGCCCACCAAGGCGACGAUCCGUAGCUGGUCUGAGAGGAUGAUCAGCCACACUGGAACUGAGACACGGUCCAGACUCCUACGGGAGGCAGCAGUAGGGAAUAUUGGACAAUGGGCGCAAGCCUGAUCCAGCCAUGCCGCGUGAGUGAAGAAGGCCCUCGGGUUGUAAAGCUCUUUUGUCCGGAAAGAAAAGCGCCGGGUUAAUACCCUGGUGUCCUGACGGUACCGGAAGAAUAAGCACCGGCUAACUUCGUG